rnacentral:rRNA from 1 species
AGACCCGAAACCCGGUGAUCUAGCCAUGGGCAGGUUGAAGGUUGGGUAACACUAACUGGAGGACCGAACCGACUAAUGUUGAAAAAUUAGCGGAUGACUUGUGGCUGGGGGUGAAAGGCCAAUCAAACCGGGAGAUAGCUGGUUCUCCCCGAAAGCUAUUUAGGUAGCGCCUCGUGAAUUCAUCUCCGGGGGUAGAGCACUGUUUCGGCAAGGGGGUCAUCCCGACUUACCAACCCGAUGCAAACUGCGAAUACCGGAGAAUGUUAUCACGGGAGACACACGGCGGGUGCUAACGUCCGUCGUGAAGAGGGAAACAACCCAGACCGCCAGCUAAGGUCCCAAAGUCAUGGUUAAGUGGGAAACGAUGUGGGAAGGCCCAGACAGCCAGGAUGUUGGCUUAGAAGCAGCCAUCAUUUAAAGAAAGCGUAAUAGCUCACUGGUCGAGUCGGCCUGCGCGGAAGAUGUAACGGGGCUAAACCAUGCACCGAAGCUGCGGCAGCGACACUGUGUGUUGUUGGGUAGGGGAGCGUUCUGUAAGCCUGUGAAGGUGUGCUGUGAGGCAUGCUGGAGGUAUCAGAAGUGCGAAUGCUGACAUAAGUAACGAUAAAGCGGGUGAAAAGCCCGCUCGCCGGAAGACCAAGGGUUCCUGUCCAACGUU